UUUAGAAUUCCUACGCUUUACCG
rnacentral:ncRNA from 2 species